AGAGUUUGAUCCUGGCUCAGGACGAACGCUGGCGGCGCGCCUAACACAUGCAAGUCGAACGGAGUUAUUAGGAGCUUGUUUUUCUUAACUUAUCGGCGAGCGGGUGAGUAACACGGGAGUAACCUGCCCUGGAGUGGGGGACAACAGUUGGAAACGACUGCUAAUACCGGAUGAGCCCACGGCCCGGCCUCGGGCUGAGGGAAAAGGAUUUGUUCACUUCUCGAUGGACUCGCGACCGAUUCGCUAGUUGGUGAGGUAACGGCCCGCCAACGCGACGAUUGGGAGCCGGACUGAGAGGUAGAACGGACGCAUUGGGACUGAGACGCGGCCCAGACUCCUACCGGAGGCAUCCGGGGGGGAUAUUGCACGAUGGGGGAAACCCUGAUGCAACCACGCCGCGUGGACGAAGAAGGUUUUCGGAUUGUAAACUCCUGUCGUUAGGGGAGAUAAUGACGGUACCUAACUAGAAAGCACCGGCUAAAUACGUGCCAGCAGCCGCGGUAAAACGUAGGGUGCAAGCGUUAUCCGGAAUUACUGGGUGUAAAGGGAGCGCAGGCGGACGGGCAAGUUGGAAGUGAAAACUAUGGGCUCAGCCCAUAAAUUGCUUUCAAAACUGGUGGCCUUGAGUAGUGCAGAGGUAGGUGGAAUUCCCGGUGUAGCGGUGGAAUGCGUAGAUAUUGGGAGGAACACCAGUGGCGAAGGCGGCCUACUGGGCACCAACUGACGCUGAGGCUCGAAAGCAUGGGGAGCAAACAGGAUUAGAUACCCUGGUAGUCCACGCCGUAAACGAUGAAUACUAGGUGUUGGGGGAUUGUCCCCCUCAGUGCAGCAGCUAACACCAUUAGUAAUCCAGAGGGGGAGUGCGACAGCAAGGUUGAAACUCAAAGGAAUGGACGGGCGCCCGCACAAGCACUGGAGUAUGUGGUUUAAUUAGAAGCAACACCAAGAACCUUUCCAGGUCUUGACAUGCGAGGCAUAGCACAGAGCUGUGUGUUAUCCUCAGGGACAUCGAGACAGGCGGGGCAGUGUUGUGGUCAGCUCGUGUCGUGAGAUGUUGAGUUAAGUCCCGCAACGAGCCCAACCCUUCUUUCCAGUUCAUACGUUAAGAGGCCUUUGGCGAGACUGCCGUGGACAAAACGGAGGAAGGGGGGGAAGACGUCAAAUCAUCAUGCCCCUUAUGACUUGGGCUACACACGUACUACAAUGGCGUUAAACAAAGAGAAGCAAGACCGCGAGGUGGAGCAAAACUCAAAAACAACGUCUCAGUUCAGAUUGCAGUCUGCAACUCGCCUACAUGAAGCUGGAGUUGCUAGUAAUCGCGAAUCAGCAUGUCGCGGUGAAUACGUUCCCGGGCCUUGCACUCACCGCCCGUCA
rnacentral:rRNA from 1 species